rnacentral:rRNA from 1 species
UACAGAGGAGCCAAGCGUUGUCCGGAUUGACUGGGCGUAAAGCGCACGCAGGCGGAUGCGCGCGUGGGGUGUGAAAUCUGGCCGCUUAACGGCCAGGCGCCAUCCCAUACGGCGCGUCUGGAGUGAUGCAGAGGUCGAUGGAAUUGCCGGUGUAGUGGUGAAAUGCGUAGAUAUCGGAAGGAACAUCAGUGGCGAAGGCGACUUCCUGGACCAAUACUGACGCUCAGGUGCGAAAGCGUGGGGAGCAAACAGG